GACGAACGCUGGCGGCGUGCUUAACACAUGCAAGUCGAACGGAAAGGCCCUGCUUUUGUGGGGUGCUCGAGUGGCGAACGGGUGAGUAACACGUGAGUAACCUGCCCUUUACUUUGGGAUAACUUCAGGAAACUGGGGCUAAUACCGGAUAGGAGCUCCUGCUGCAUGGUGGGGGUUGGAAAGUUUCGGCGGUUGGGGAUGUACUCGCGGCUUAUCAGCUUGUUGGUGGGGUAGUGGCUUACCAAGGCUUUGACGGGUAGCCGGCCUGAGAGGGUGACCGGCCACAUUGGGACUGAGAUACGGCCCAGACUCCUACGGGAGGCAGCAGUGGGGAAUAUUGCACAAUGGGCGGAAGCCUGAUGCAGCAAAGCCGCGUGCGGGAUGACGGCCUUCGGGUUGUAAACCGCUUUCGCCUGUGACGAAGCGUGAGUGACGGUAAUGGGUAAAGAAGCACCGGCUAACUACGUG
rnacentral:rRNA from 1 species